AAAAAAAUAGAUAAAUAAAUAAAUCAAAGUUGGUUUUGGAUGUGUGUAGGUAGGCUAUGGUCUCAUGUCCCUUUAAGACGCUGUCCUACGUCAGAGACGUGACUCCACCCCAUCCAGUCCGUAACAAAGAGGUAAAGACAGGUGAGGAGAUGGAGGACGGUUCAAAAGUUGUAGCGGCUGAAGUAGAAGAAGUUAAUGUGGGAGGGGGUGAGCAGCUUGUGGAGUAGUUAUCGUCCAUUU
rnacentral:lncRNA from 1 species